GGGUGUCGGCUGUAUAGCGCAGUUAGGCAGGUUAUGAUUAUGCGUCGGUCGGGCCGCCACG
rnacentral:ncRNA from 15 species